UAUCUGUCUAACAGAACAUGGACAUCAUCAUCAAACAAGACCUCCUCAUACUGUCAGUCUUUUGGCUGUGGGCUACAGGUCUGACUGAUGGGAGUGAUGUCAAACAGAUUUCCACAUUAUGGAAGAAGGAGGGUGACAGUGCAACAAUAGACUGCAGCCACAAAAAGGAUGCUAACUACAACCAGAUGUACUGGUACAGACAGCGACCAGGAGAAACAAUGAAACUCAUCGUGUUCACAUCAACUGCCAGCAAAGAUCAUGACUUUGGAGAUUUCAGCAAAGAGAAAUUCUCAGCCACCAAACCUGCCUUUGACAGUGGGACAUUCACAGUGAAGAAUCUGGUGCCACAAGAUGAAGGCUUGUAUUUCUGUGCUGUAAGUCAACACAGUGAUACAGACACAUGUGAAAGCUGA